rnacentral:rRNA from 1 species
GUAAAGCACUUUCAGUAGGGAGGAAGGUAGUGUAGUUAACACCUGCAUUAUUUGACGUUACCUACAGAAGAAGCACCGGCUAACUCCGUCGCCAGCAGCCGCGGUAAUACGGGAGGGUGCGAGCGUUAAGUACGGAAUUACGUGGGACGUAAAGCGCAUGCAGGCGGCCGUGUUAAGUCAGAUGUAGAAAGGACCCGGGGACCGUUUAACCCGUACCGGUAAAGUUGCUAUUUAGUAAACGUAGGCGAGGCUAGAGUCUUGUAGAGGGGGGUAGGAAUUUCAGGUGUAGCGGUGAAAUGCGUAGAGAUCUGAAGGAAUACCAGUGGCGAAGGCGGCCCCCUGGACAAAGACUGACGCUCAGAUGCGAAAGCGUGGGGAGCAAACAGGAUUAGAUACCCUGGUAG